AACGUAGGUCACAAGCGUUGUCCGGAAUUACUGGGUGUAAAGGGAGCGCAGGCGGGAAGACAAGUUGGAAGUGAAAUCUAUGGGCUCAACCCAUAAACUGCUUUCAAAACUGUUUUUCUUGAGUAGUGCAGAGGUAGACGGAAUUCCCGGUGUAGCGGUGGAAUGCGUAGAUAUCGGGAGGAACACCAGUGGCGAAGGCGGCCUACUGGGCACCAACUGACGCUGAGGCUCGAAAGUGUGGGUAGCAAACAGG
rnacentral:rRNA from 1 species